UGAGAAAUUUGACAUAGGUUGUCUGUCCGCCUGUCCGUCCGACCGCGAAUAUAACUCCUCCGUUACUAUACCAGGUAGAAUGACAAAUGAGGUGUCAAAUGAAAGCUCAUAAUACAAGGAUGGUACUAAAGGUGAGAAAUUUGACAUAUGCUGUCUGUCCGCCUGUCCGUCCAACCACGAAUAUAACUCAUCCGUCACUAUAGCAGGUAGAAUGACAAAUGAGGUGUCAAAUGAAAGCUUAUAAUACAAGGAUGGUACUAAAGGUGAGAAAUUUGACAUAGGCUGUCUGUCCGUCCGACCGCGAGUAUAACUCAUCCGUCACUAUACCAGGUAGAAUGACAAAUGAGGUGUCAACUGAAAGCUUAUAAUCUAAGGAUAGUACUGAAGGUGAGAAAUUUGACAUAGGUUGUCUGUCCGCCUGUCCGUCCGACCGCGAAUAUAACUCCUCCGUUACUAUACCAGGUAGAAUGACAAAUGAGGUGUCAAAUGAAAGCUCAUAAUACAAGGAUGGUACUAAAGGUGAGAAAUUUGACAUAUGCUGUCUGUCCGCCUGUCCGUCCAACCACGAAUAUAACUCAUCCGUCACUAUAGCAGGUAGAAUGACAAAUGAGGUGUCAAAUGAAAGCUUAUAAUACAAGGAUGGUACUAAAGGUGAGAAAUUUGACAUAGGCUGUCUGUCCGUCCGACCGCGAGUAUAACUCAUCCGUCACUAUACCAGGUAGAAUGACAAAUGAGGUGUCAACUGAAAGUUUAUAAUCCAAGGAUAGUAGUAAAGGUGAGAAAUUAGACCUAGGUUGUCUGUCCGUCUGUCUGUCUGUCCGCGAAUAUAACUCCUCCGUCACUAUACCAGGUCGGACGGACAGG